AGAAAAAAAAAGGUUUUUAUAGUUUUUUUAAACAGCUCAGGAUGAACGCUGGCGGCGUGCCUAAUACAUGCAAGUCGAGCGAACGGACGAGAAGCUUGCUUCUCUGAUGUUAGCGGCGGACGGGUGAGUAACACGUGGAUAACCUACCUAUAAGACUGGGAUAACUUCGGGAAACCGGAGCUAAUACCGGAUAAUAUUUUGAACCGCAUGGUUCAAAAGUGAAAGACGGUCUUGCUGUCACUUAUAGAUGGAUCCGCGCUGCAUUAGCUAGUUGGUAAGGUAACGGCUUACCAAGGCAACGAUGCAUAGCCGACCUGAGAGGGUGAUCGGCCACACUGGAACUGAGACACGGUCCAGACUCCUACGGGAGGCAGCAGUAGGGAAUCUUCCGCAAUGGGCGAAAGCCUGACGGAGCAACGCCGCGUGAGUGAUGAAGGUCUUCGGAUCGUAAAACUCUGUUAUUAGGGAAGAACAUAUGUGUAAGUAACUGUGCACAUCUUGACGGUACCUAAUCAGAAAGCCACGGCUAACUACGUGCCAGCAGCCGCGGUAAUACGUAGGUGGCAAGCGUUAUCCGGAAUUAUUGGGCGUAAAGCGCGCGUAGGCGGUUUUUUAAGUCUGAUGUGAAAGCCCACGGCUCAACCGUGGAGGGUCAUUGGAAACUGGAAAACUUGAGUGCAGAAGAGGAAAGUGGAAUUCCAUGUGUAGCGGUGAAAUGCGCAGAGAUAUGGAGGAACACCAGUGGCGAAGGCGACUUUCUGGUCUGUAACUGACGCUGAUGUCAAAAAAAGGG
rnacentral:rRNA from 1 species